rnacentral:lncRNA from 1 species
GAGAGCUUGCAAUGCACUGAGAAGAUCUUGUCUGAGCACUUGGAUACCCUUGGUCUGGAAGAAUGCAAAAUAUCUUUGUCCUUCAAUAAUGCAUUUUUGAGGUCUAAAAAUUGCAGCAUUUUCUAAAUAUAAGGUCUUCAACUAAAUUUAGUAUGUAAGGCUAUGUUGACUAUGGCAGGUAUAGGAUAACCAAUGGCAGAUGCAAGACUUUGGGAUGCUGAAGGGCAAGGUCCUCUUCUGUGAGUUGGUGCCAUACUAGCACAAUCCUCACAUGCAAUUUGGGAGCCCAUAGCCAUACUCAAGCGAGCAGCUGCCAUGCUUUACAGUCUGCAGCCUCAAAUCCUUAGUCCUUGGUCACUGACCUAUUUGUGGAGGACAGGUCUUCCAUGGACAAAUAGAUGAAAGAGAUUCCAUCCUCCAAACCUUUUUUAUUCCAAUAAAUAGUGCUCUGGCUGACACCUGUGAAACUCUCCUAGCCUUUGUUUUCCUUGAUUCAUAAAUCAAGGGGUGACUUUGGCAAGAUUCAUAUUCUUCUGUUCCCAGCCUGUUGCACCUACAGCUAUAGGUAUUGUAAGGCUUAUGUCAACCUCUAUAUGAGAUUUAUGAAUUCCUCAGCAGAUUUCAGCAAAGGCGCUUAGGCUGUGGCAUAUUCCACAACUCCAGCCUCAGAUAUUCCACAAUUUCAGCCUCAGGCUCAGUGGAGAUAUGAUUACCUCGUCCCCAAGAAAGGAAAGUUCAUGGUGUUUGGAUCCUGUGGGAAAAAAUAUAUGCCGUGUUUUUUGAUCAUUAGUCUGUACUGUGACAGCAAGAGUGCACCUGCAAAGUUUAACUGUGCCUUUUCUGCAUGUAGGCGGGAAGUAGGAUGAGCUUUUGUUCAUCUUGCUGCCAGGUGAUGAGCUUUGCACACCAGACAGACUUGGUGCCAUCACUCCUACAGCUUCCAGUUAUGAGUGCUUUCUGAGCCCUGUGUGAAUUCCAGCAGGAUGCAGGCUCAAAUUUUGCAUCUCAGCAACCAAGAUGUAUGGCUAAUAAAUCCUGAUUGCAGACGAAGAGUGCUUAAGAUCAGGAAUCUCAGCCCACAGGAUGAACUGAGAAGUGGAAGACAGAGAUGGUGGCUGAAGUCUGCCAAGAUUCAGAGGAGUGCAGCAGCGUGCCAGAUCCUCGCUGGAUUUGAGCAUAUCAGCCUGGUAAGCAUCCAGGAAGGGGGCCCAACUGGGUGUGCAGUGCUGCUGUCAUGGUAUAGUAUCACCAGUAACGUGUUUGUUAACACAGAACUCACCUCUGAAAAAUAUCAGUUUUCCAAGCUAAUUCGGAGCAAGGCCUUGAAGACAAAUAAAAUUAUUUAUAUAGUGCAUUUCUUUUUACCAGCAAACAUGGAAAAAAAGCACAGUGAUUCCAGAUCACGAUGUCAGAGAUACAUGAAGAACAUCUGUCACUAUGACAGAAUCAUAAAUCAUCAUGCUGAAAUCCUGACAAGCCCUUUUUCACUGGCAAAGUAG